GGGCCGAGCGGCGGAGUUCGGUGUGAGGGGGCGGAGAGAGGAGGCGGAGUGAGGGGUUCGUCCAUUUUCAGAGCAGUCGGGAAAUCCCACAGGAAAAACAACACUUUCUCGCGUGAGCAAAGCAAACCCCAGGUACGCCUCGACCGUGCCAGCUGGCGGUGGUGACUCGUGGGGAGGGAUCCCAACAGUGCCCGGAGAGGGUCAGGCUCGUAAAGCACGAGCAGGAGCAAACCCUUCUAUUUAUUUGUUCCGCAGCGGAGCGAGGUCCUGGGAACUUUGAGUAAUUUCUACCGCGGUCUCUCACUGCCCUCUCGUGGCUGGAUGAUGCAUGUGCACAUCGCCGCAGUGAGUAUCUCAUCUUCCUGAUGUUGUUGCAUUAAAUUCCCGGCCAGAAUGUUACGGCCAGCAUAAUCUCCUUUAAUUCCUGCCAGCCUGGAAUACACGGUUAACUUUCCUUUUUUAGCUCCAGUUAUUUGCACAAAUCCAGAGCAGCUCCUUGGCCUGAAGAGCUGCCUGAUGGAGCACAAGGAGCCCGGCACCAGCCAGGCUGGAAUGACUCCCCAGGAGUCCAGCUGCACUCUGGAGAAGAGAAAUGGAGAGCUGGGGGAGGCCCGAGCAAGUUCUGAGGAGGGAUGAUCGGUCCUGCCUUGGAAGCAAGAGAACGUCCUGGUGUCUGGGAAUAUUUUGGGCAUAAAAUUGGAGGUGGUGGAAUUGCCUCUCUGUCCGUGUGCUGAGCUCCGGCUGCAGGGACUGUCAGGCAUUGUUGGCUCUGUUGCCUGGUGUCAUUUCCCUGCCUGAGCUGGCUGUGGGUUGGUGUGGGACGCGAGGCCGGAGAGAGCGAGCGGAGGAGCCUCGGGCUGGAGAGGGGCAGGAGAAAGGCCCUGUGGGCAAAGGGACGUCCCUGUGUGCCCAGGGCCCUGCAGGGGACAGGAUGGACACUCUGGGGUCACUCUGAGGGGCAUCUCCGAGGGCUCUUGCUUUAGGGCCACUGAGGGAAGAUUGCCCCGGCUUCAACAGUGCUGCUGGCUGCCGGCCUCCGGCUGGAAGGGCAGGGAUUUGGGGUGGGCGGGACACACGUGGGGGGCACGUGGCAGCUCUAGGAGGUGGGCCCUGGGAAUGGCUGCCCGUGCUGGUCCACAAACACAAGGUGCCUGCAUUCCCAAGUGCCAGCAGCGUCAGCAUAAAAGAGGAGAUUCAUUUUCCGGGAAUUACAUCGCUGGCCCUCAGAAGGGGUUUGGGGUGUUUUGGGCAGCAUCAGCGCGGGGCUCAGUUCUGAACUGGGGCAAACCCUGUCCACGCUGCGGGUGCCGUCCUGGGCCCAGGCCAGAGGGGCUGCGGUUGCCAGCUGCUCCCCGUGUCCGUGCCGAGCCAGCGUCCCAGGGGCACAACAGGCGGCGCCGACACUUCCGAGGGAAGAGUUUUCUCUCUGUGGGAAGCCGGGAUUUC